CACCUCUCAGAGUCACACCUGGAGAGUUUCUAGUGCUCCACCAGUCUCAACGACGGGAGAGAGAGUCAAGCAGAGACUUACCCAUUCCAUUCCUAGCUUGGGCAGUGGCUAGUGAGUGGAAGGCACUCUGCUACAAGU